rnacentral:rRNA from 1 species
UACGGAGGGGGCUAGCGUUGUCCGGAAUCAUUGGGCGUAAAGCGCGUGUAGGCGGUCCGGUAAGUCCGCUGUGAAAGUCGGGGGCUCAACCCUCGAAUGCCGGUGGAUACUGUCGGGCUAGAGUGCGGAAGAGGCGAGUGGAAUUCCUGGUGUAGCGGUGAAAUGCGCAGAUAUCAGGAGGAACACCAAUUGCGAAGGCAGCUCGCUGGGACGUUACUGACGCUGAGACGCGAAAGCGUGGGGAGCAAACAGG